UACGUAGGGUGCAAGCGUUGUCCGGAAUUAUUGGGCGUAAAGAGCUCGUAGGCGGUGUGUCACGUCGGCCGUGAAAACCUGCAGCUUAACUGUGGGCGUGCGGUCGAUACGGGCAGACUAGAGUUCGGCAGGGGAGACUGGAAUUCCUGGUGUAGCGGUGAAAUGCGCAGAUAUCAGGAGGAACACCGGUGGCGAAGGCGGGUCUCUGGGCCGAUACUGACGCUGAGGAGCGAAAGCGUGGGGAGCGAACAGG
rnacentral:rRNA from 1 species